CAAUAGAUACCCGGGUAGUCCACCCCGUAAACGUUGGGAACUAGUUGUGGGGUCCUUUCCACGGAUUCCGUGACGCAGCUAACGCAUUAAGUUCCCCGCCUGGGGAGUACGGCCGCAAGGCUAAAACUCAAAGGAAUUGACGGGGACCCGCACAAGCGGCGGAGCAUGCGGAUUAAUUCGAUGCAACGCGAAGAACCUUACCAAGGCUUGACAUACACCAGAACACCCUAGAAAUAGGGGACUCUUUGGACACUGGUGAACAGGUGGUGCAUGGUUGUCGUCAGCUCGUGUCGUGAGAUGUUGGGUUAAGUCCCGCAACGAGCGCAACCCUCGUUCUAUGUUGCCAGCACGUAAUGGUGGGAACUCAUGGGAUACUGCCGGGGUCAACUCGGAGGAAGGUGGGGAUGACGUCAAAUCGAUCAUGCCCCUUAUGUCUUGGGCUUCACGCAUGCUACAAUGGCCGGUACAAAGGGCUGCAAUACCGUGAGGUGGAGCGAAUCCCGAAAAGCCGGUCCCAGUUCGGAUUGAGGUCUGCAACUCGACCUCA
rnacentral:rRNA from 1 species